CACACACACACACACACACACACACACGCACACUAUGAGUACCUGCUGAUAUCCAGUACUGCACUUUUAUACUUAAUUACAAAAGCUGUGUGGGUGGGUGGGUGUGUGUGUGUGUUUGUUUAGAACAACAUAAAUGGUCUGGGUGUCAUUAGUGCUGAAGUCCGUGGGCUUUGAUGCUUGUGGUUGAAUGUUGUAUGAAUUCAGAGGUGUAAUGUUUAUUUGCAGUCUCUUGCUCACUUCAUAUUUACCCACAAUGCAGCAGUGAGUGUGGGUGCUAUAGGAAGUAAGGACAGUCUCUAAAGGGUUUUAUCUAAGUGUUUCUCUGACAGGAAAUAACUGAGGGCAGUGUGGAGUUGUUAAAUUUAGCCAUGUUCACCGGGAAGCUGUGGGACACACGUCUGGCAUUUCCUCCUCUGGAUAUUAAACCCUUCUGUUUUUAACCGCUUCUGUUUCUCUCAGCGCUAUUCUCAGAGACGCCCGCUGCAGGGAAAAUGGCGUGUUCCUGCAAGCUCUGAGGGCCGAUUGCUUUAACUGUGUGCUGUGAGCAGGAAUAAGGCACAUGGAGUGGAUGAGCAGCAGCGAUUACAAGGAAUAAGUGAAAGUCUUUAAAAACAAUACAAUAUAUUUAAACACAAACAAGCUUCCAGAUUCACAAUACACUGAAACAUAUCUCUGCUGUGUGUGUGUGUGUGUGUGUGUGUGUGUGUUUUAAUCAUCCUAUUGGUUAUGAAAUCUCUAGCGUAUUGUGUCAGAGCAGUGGAUCCACUCGACCUGACAAACUAUGAUAUAGUGACAUUAUGAGAUCACUAGUAUAUAUUACAUGAUCGUGUUUAGAACAUUUAUAAACAAGUUAAUGUGUUGAGUUCGAGUGAAUCCGCUCAGGUUUUCACGUUUCCAUGACGUUAUUGAUAUUUCUGAAGAAUUGCGUGCUUCUGUCACAACUCCAGCACUUGUAGUGGAAAAAAAUCAAACAAGACCAACAAGCUAAGUUUCCUGAAUGUACACACUGCUGAGCAUGUUCUAACAAGCUGAUAGUCCUUCUACACUCACACACACUCACACACACACACACUCACUCACACACACGAGUUUGGAUUCAGUGCUGGAGUGUGAAGAUCACAGCUGUGUUCACCCUGAGAGAAGGGGAUGAUGAUGAUGAUAAUGAUGAUGAAAACCUGUUGUGUGUUUGUGAGCAGGGAGUGUGUGUGUGUGUGCGCGCUAACCAGUUUUCAGUGUUUUUUCUCCUGUAUGACUCACGCAGUGUUUCUCUCGUGAACACAAUGAGACAGUACGUGUGUGGCCGCGUGCGUGUGUGCGUGCACAAACAGACAGUGGUAUGAAAGCUUUCUUCACUUUGCCGUAGGUCCCCUUUCCCAGGGUCUCCAGGAAGUCGUAUCUGUGCUUCAGGUUGUGUUUGUGAUGAUGCCGCUUGACCGCAUGCCGUUUCAACGGAGAAGCGAACUUCCGGUCGGCAU